rnacentral:rRNA from 1 species
UACGUAGGUGGCAAGCGUUAUCCGGAUUUACUGGGUGUAAAGGGCGAGUAGGCGGGAUUGCAAGUCAGAUGUGAAAACUAUGGGCUCAACCGAUAGAGUGCAUUUGAAUCUGCAGUUCUUGAGUGAUGGAGAGGCAGGCGGAAUUCCCGGUGUAGCGGUGGAAUGCGUAGAUAUCGGGAGGAACACCAGUGGCGAAGGCGGCCUGCUGGACAUUAACUGACGCUGAGGCGCGAAAGCGUGGGGAGCAAACAGG